UACGUAGGGGGCAAGCGUUGUCCGGAAUUAUUGGGCGUAAAGCGCGCGCAGGCGGUUAAUUAAGUCCGAUGUGAAAGGCUACGGCUCAACCGUAGAGUUGCAUUUGAAACUGGUUAACUUGAGUGCAGGAGAGGUAAGUGGAAUUCCCGGUGUAGCGGUGGAAUGCGUAGAGAUCGGGAGGAACACCAGUGGCGAAGGCGACUUACUGGCCUGCAACUGACGCUGAGGCGCGAAAGCGUGGGGAGCGAACAGG
rnacentral:rRNA from 1 species